rnacentral:rRNA from 1 species
AACCUCCGCAAUGUGAGAAAUCGCGACGGGGGGAUCCCAAGUGCCAUUCUUAACGGGAUGGCUUUUCAUUAGUGUAAAGAGCUUUUGGAAUAAGAGCUGGGCAAGACCGGUGCCAGCCGCCGCGGUAACACCGGCAGCUCUAGUGGUAGCAAUUUUUAUUGGGCCUAAAGCGUCCGUAGCCGGUUUAAUAAGUCUCUGGUGAAAUCCUGUAGCUUAACUGUGGGAAUUGCUGGAGAUACUAUUAGACUUGAGACCGGGAGAGGUUAGAGGUACUCCCAGGGUAGAGGUGAAAUUCUGUAAUCCUGGGAGGACCGCCUGUUGCGAAGGCGUCUAACUGGAACGGUUCUGACGGUGAGGGACGAAAGUUAGGGGCGCGAACCGGAUUAGAUACCCGGGUAGUCCUAACCGUAAACGAUGCGGACUUGGUGUUGGGGUGGCUUUGAGCUGCUCCAGUGCCGAAGGGAAGCUGUUAAGUCCGCCGCCUGGGAAGUACGGUCGCAAGACUGAAACUUAAAGGAAUU